GCAUUAUUUGACGUUAGCGACAGACCAGCACCGGCUAACUCCGUGCCAGCAGCCGCGGUAAUACGGAGGGUGCGAGCGUUAAUCGGAAUUACUGGGCGUAAAGCGCAUGCAGGUGGUUUGUUAAGUCAGAUGUGAAAGCCCGGGGCUCAACCUCGGAAUGCAUUUGAAAC
rnacentral:rRNA from 1 species